rnacentral:rRNA from 1 species
GCUGACGAGUGGCGGACGGGUGAGUAAUGUCUGGGAAACUGCCUGAUGGAGGGGGAUAACUACUGGAAACGGUAGCUAAUACCGCAUAACGUCGCAAGACCAAAGAGGGGGACCUUAGGGCCUCUUGCCAUCGGAUGUGCCCAGAUGGGAUUAGCUAGUAGGUGGGGUAACGGCUCACCUAGGCGACGAUCCCUAGCUGGUCUGAGAGGAUGACCAGCCACACUGGAACUGAGACACGGUCCAGACUCCUACGGGAGGCAGCAGUGGGGAAUAUUGCACAAUGGGCGCAAGCCUGAUGCAGCCAUGCCGCGUGUAUGAAGAAGGCCUUCGGGUUGUAAAGUAC